UGUCUGCCACACGGCAAAGAUAAACAAACUUUUCUUUGGUAUUCAACCCUCCACAGGUUUUUUACCCUCUCUGGAGGUCUGCAAUAAAAGAUAGUAACUCAGG